GACGAACGCUGGCGGCGUGCCUAAUACAUGCAAGUAGGACGCAGUUGCGAACGGGUGAGUAACGCGUAGGUAACUACCUAUUAGAGGGGGAUAACUAUUGGAAACGAUAGCUAAUACCGCAUACUAGUAGAUGGACCUGCGUUGUAUUAGCUAGUAGGUAGGGUAAAGGCCUACCUAGGCAAAGAUACAUAGCCGACCUGAGAGGGUGGUCGGCCACACUGGGACUGGGAAACGGCCCAGGAUCCUACGGGGGGGAGCCGUAGGGAAUCUUCGGAAAUGGGGGGAACCCUGACCGAGCAACGCCGCGGGAGUUAAGAAGGGUCUUGGAUCGUAAAGCUCUGUUGUUAAGGAAGCGUUACUUAACCAGAAAGGGACGGCUAACUACGUGCCAGCCGCCGCGGUAAUAC
rnacentral:rRNA from 1 species